rnacentral:tRNA from 1 species
GCGGAAAUGGCGGAAUCGGCAGACGCACUAUCUUGAGGGGGUAGCGAGUAUGUACUCGUGCGGGUUCAAGUCCCGCUUUCCGCACCA